UUCCUGUGCAAGGACUGGACCUUCAAGAGAACUGCAUCUUUAUAUAAAUGGAAUUUUUUCAGUUCAACAUCAAGAGGAACGGACAUCAAUGUGAAACACCAUCCAAUUAACAGUGGACCCCGACCAGCAAGGAUAUCCAGCAGUGAAUAUUAUUGCUAACCCAACUGAGCACCUGCUGAUGUGGAUGCCGAAUGCGGUUGACAGAGACCCAUUUAAUUUUCCACCAUACUUCAGUCUUCUGGGCUUGUUCAGACGCAACCCAUGGAGGUCCACACUGGAACAGCUAUCCACCCUGCAGCCCAUGGAGGACCCCAUGCCAGAGCAGAUGACUGUGCCCAGAAGGAAGCUGCAGCCCAUGGAGAGCCCGUGCUGUGCUCCAGCAGACUCCUGGCAGGAACUGCAGCCUUUGGAGAGGAGCCUGCACAGGAGCAGGUUUGCUGGCAGGACCUGCAGCCCAUGGGGAACCCACGCAGUUCAUUCCUGAGGGAUCGUACUCAAUGGAAAGGACCCACACUGGAGCAGUUUGUGAAGAACUGCAGCCCAUGGGAAGGACCCGUGUUGGAGAAGUUCGUGCAGAACUGUCUCCCGCGGGAGGGACCCCACACUGGAGCAGGAGAAGACCACAAGGAGGAGGGAGCAUCAGAGGCAAGUGUUAUGAACUGACCACAACCCCCAUUCCCUAUCCCUCUGCCCUACUCAGUGGGAGGAGGUAGAAGAGUUAUGAGUGAAGUUGAGCCUGUUGACGGGGGGGAGUGAUAGAGUGAGUGGCUUGGUGGGUACCUGGAGGCCAGCCAAGGUCAACUCACCACAACCAAAAAGGUGUUUUGAAUGUAAAUAGAGCAACAUUGGCAAAGUCAUGUUUGGUACCAAAGUGGCAAAGCUAGCUUCCUUUACCAAAACACACCAAUAGUCUAGUUUCACUGCUCUCUUUAAGGCUACAGGUCCAGGUGGUAUAGCUUCAGGGAUGCAACACUGACUGACACAGCAAUGCCACAGAAGUCAGGCCUUAGUAAGCGACAGCGUCUGCUAAACUCAUGGCUCUCACUGAUUCUCUCAAUCUCCUGGCAGAAGCUUACCUAGUGAUUAGCAUAUAUAACUGGGACUUAGGUUACCUAGGGCCUUUAUUUCUAGCUAGGGCAUUGGCUUGCUGGGUGACCUUUAGUGAGACAUCUCAGGUUGUUCUGCCUCUUUUCUCUGCUGUACAAUAGAAAAAAAUAUUUCAAUACGGACGUGAAAAUUCAUUAAUAUUUGUAAAGUAUUUGCUGAUCUGUAGAAUAAAGGCAUUCUACCUAUGAAUAA